rnacentral:rRNA from 1 species
AUGAACGCUGGCGGCGUGCCUAAUACAUGCAAGUCGAGCGAACAGACGAGGAGCUUGCUCCUCUGACGUUAGCGGCGGACGGGUGAGUAACACGUGGAUAACCUACCUAUAAGACUGGGAUAACUUCGGGAAACCGGAGCUAAUACCGGAUAAUAUAUUGAACCGCAUGGUUCAAUAGUGAAAGACGGUUUUGCUGUCACUUAUAGAUGGAUCCGCGCCGCAUUAGCUAGUUGGUAAGGUAACGGCUUACCAAGGCAACGAUGCGUAGCCGACCUGAGAGGGUGAUCGGCCACACUGGAACUGAGACACGGUCCAGACUCCUACGGGAGGCAGCAGUAGGGAAUCUUCCGCAUGGGCGAAAGCCUGACGGAGCAACGCCGCGUGAGUGAUGAAGGUCUUCGGAUCGUAAAACUCUGUUAUUAGGGAAGAACAAAUGUGUAAGUAACUAUGCACGUCUUGACGGUACCUAAUCAGAAAGCCACGGCUAACUACGUG